rnacentral:lncRNA from 1 species
GGAGAAAGAGUAGAGAGAGCUGAGAUAUUAUUAAUAUUAAUAAUAUUAUAUUUUAUGCCAGUAAUGGUGCUGGUGGGUGGCAGUGUUUACCUUUAUUGAGAUCAUUCAUAUUAAUUUAAGUCUAUAUAUUAAUAAUAAUUUGCGGAUACAGCCAAGAAUUGUAGAGAGAGAAUAUGUAGUAAUAGCAUAGAUAAGGGCAGUUUGAAGAGAGGGAACAUGCCCAAUUUCAUCCCAACAGUUGUGUUCAUUUGUUUCUUCAAGUGGUGGCUGCAGAUCCCAGAGGUCCCUCUCCAUCCUUUCCCUUUCACUAUGUAUAUAUCUGUGUAUAGAAAGUUCUUCUUUUGUGCUCCCAAUUCAUGUCAAAAAUCUGCAAUUUUUUGAAAUAUUUUCUGCAUUUUUUUUUAAUUUCUACUGAUCUUCGAGUUGUAUGCAUAUACCCAUGAUAUGGGUUCGUGUUUUGAGUAUUGAUUUGGCUUAUGAUUGAUGGAUGUGUAUAAAACAUCAGGUUCACAUGGUAAGCUAGUGGAGCGAUAAAAUUCAGAAUUAAGUUCUUGACCUUUCUUGCUAGUUAAAUGAGGGAUCUGCUGUGUUUUGUCUACAGUAAUCUUCACUGCAAGCAUAGGGAUUGUGGUUUGUGGGUUGUUUCUUCUCAUAACCAAUUUGGACAUUUUCAUUAAAGACAGGAGUUUUUCUAUUUAGUUUAUGGUUCUUUAAUGCAUGUGUAUUUGGAGAUAACAGCGUAGUGUUUCUGUCUGUGAUAGCAGAAAAAAACUUGCUUAUUUUGACUUAAGUUUCUUGGGUAUUAUUUUUCUAUGGUUUUGUGUAUGAUAAGAGUGAGUUGUGAUUUUAUCUGUUUUUGUGUAUCAUAAAGAGUUUUUCUUCUAAGAACCUCACUGGGAGAGAAAUGACGCUUGUCUCUUCAGUUAUUUAUUUUAGGAGACAGUGAUUAGACUUGCUAUGCUAUAUGGUUCAGACUUUUGGACUGCCAAAGAAGACAAAAGUUCAUAAGAUGAAUGAAACAGAAAUGACAAUGGGAAACAUGAUUAGGUGGUUGCAACAUGUUUUGUGCAGACGAAAACGGUUGACACAAUCUGGGCAUCACAAGUUAGAAGAGGAAGGGUACGCUUAAACUAACAUGGGAUGUUGUAGUUGUUAAGAAUUUUAUUGCUUUAGAUCUUAUUGGAAAAAUGAUUCAAGUCAAAUUUAUUGAUGAGAAGAUUUAGUCUGUUCUUGUACUCUUUUUAGGGUGUUUAAGCUAACCAUCAGGUUUUGAGUGGCUUGAAAAUUUGUAUCUUGAGUUUAUGGUUGUUUGUGGAGUAAGAUGCAUAAUAAUUUUGUAUUCGUGGAUCUUUGAGUUGUGGUAAGUUUUUAUAGUCAAGGUUCAUUGUCUGUUAAAUUUUAUGAAGUUAGUCUCACUCUUGAGCCACAGAGGACCAUUUAAUUAGGUAAUCAGUUCUUGUUAGGUGACACAUACAGUCCAUUACAUUUUAACUUUUACAAAGAAAUCUCACCAACCUCCAUACUAUUUGAAUCACAGGGGUUGAAUUGUCCAUACUUAGGCUUGUCAACAUUACACUCAAUUUUACACUGCUAAUGUUCAUUAGUUUUUCAGUUGUCAAUGUAUUUACAUUCAAGCAGCAAGUGGAAGUCCUGAUGUUAAUUCUCUUUUACUGUAUAAUCACAACUACCAGAUUUGAUAUAUGCGAGUCGAAGCACAGAGGUCAAAUGCACAGAGAUUUCUAAGGCAGUCUACUUUUUAUGCAUUUGAAGUGGGUUGUUAGUGGAUGGAAAAGGCAUAGAGUCCACUGUUGUCUUGAAAGUUAUUGUGGCAACGAACACAAUUGCAGCUCCUUCCGCAGAGCCUGACUUAAAGAUUAUCUUAUCUACCAAUUCUUCGCGAUAUACAAACUUAUUUUAUGAAGUACGGAGAAGGUUUAUAAUAUUGUCACUGAACUUCUAUUUGUUCAAAAUGUUUACAUUAUAAAAUGUGUAGCGGAAAUCCCUCGAUAAAUCUUGAUUCCAGGCUCAGAAAACAAUCAAACGAACACCGGUUUACCUUGGCUUGACCCGAGACUUUCACCUUCACUUUGGACUGCUCUCUUUCUCUCUAACCCCACAAAAGAGAAGGGUGGUGGUGUUAGCAAUCCACAAAGGUAUGGAGAGGAAGAAGAAC